rnacentral:rRNA from 1 species
GACCAUCUCGCAAGGCUAAAUACUAACUAGUGACCGAUAGUGAACCAGUACCGUGAGGGAAAGGUGAAAAGAACCCCGGAAGGGGAGUGAAAGAGAACCUGAAACCGUGUGCCUACAAGUAGUCAAAGCACAUUAAAGUGUAAUGGCGUGCCUUUUGUAGAAUGAACCGGCGAGUUACGUUAAGUAGCGAGGUUAAGACAGAAAAGUCGGAGCCGAAGCGAAAGCGAGUCUGAAUAGGGCGAGCAGUUACUUGACGUAGACCCGAAACCAAGUGACCUACCCAUGUCCAGGUUGAAGGCUAGGUAAAACUGGCUGGAGGACCGAACCCACGUAAGUUAAAAAUUGCGGGGAUGAGG